UGCAUUCACUACUGUAAGUCGCUCUGGAUAAGAGCAUCUGCUAAAUGAAUAAAA
rfam:Salmo salar isolate Sally breed double haploid chromosome ssa06, whole genome shotgun sequence.